CCUACGGGAGGCAGCAGUGGGGAAUAUUGGGCAAUGGAGGAAACUCUGACCCAGCGACGCCGCGUGCGGGAUGAAGGCCUUCGGGUUGUAAACCGCUUUCAGUAGGGAAGAAGCGAAAGUGACGGUACCUACAAAAGAAGCACCGGCUAACUAUGUGCCAGCAGCCGCGGUAAUACAUAGGGUGCAAGCGUUGUCCGGAAUUAUUGGGCGUAAAGAGCUCGUAGGUCGUUUGUUACGUCGGAUGUGAAAACCUGAGGCUCAACCUCAGGCCUGCAUUCGAUACGGGCAAACUAGAGUUUGGUAGGGGAGACUGGAAUUCCUGGUGUAGCGGUGGAAUGCGCAGAUAUCAGGAGGAACACCAAUGGCGAAGGCAGGUCUCUGGGCCAAUACUGACACCGAGGAGCGAAAGUCUGGGGAGCGAACAGGAUUAGAUACCCUGGUAGUCCAGACCGUAAACGGUGGGCACUAGUUGUGGGAACCUUCCGACGGUUUCUGCGACGCAGCUAACGCAUUAAGUGCCCCGCCUGGGGAUACGAUCGCAAGNUUAAAACGUCAAAGGAAUUGACGG
rnacentral:rRNA from 1 species